GGUAUGAGAAUAGAAUCACUCAUAUGAUGAUGAGAUCUGUAAUUCCUUCAAAUGAGAUAAGAUAGGUCCCCUGGACACUGACCACUGGCCUUGGAUUUUAGAGAACCUGUGUGCCCUACUCCCAACUUGGAAUCUCUUCCUACUGUUAGCCUGUCUACUCCACUGCUCCACUCCUGUCCUCUGAAUCCAACUCUCCAUGGUUUGGCAUUUUGGUCUUUCCGGAUACUCAAUGAUACCAUCCAUGACUGAUGGGAUAUGAAAGAUGUUCAGUUCUGACUCUGUCCUAAAUCCACAGCUUGGCUUCUACCUACAGCUCAGUGCUAGUGGGUAUAUGAAUUGGUUAGCCAACAAACAAUUUUUAUCAAGAGCCUACCUACUAUGUAUCAGUCACUGCACUAUGUAGGCACUAAGGACAGAUAGUUCUUCCAUGAGAGGAUGAAUCUUCCUGUCCCUUGAAAGCCUGAGCUAAGGCUGGAGACAAAAUUUCUUGAACCUAUUGAGUAGUUCAUUAAACAAGAAAAUAAUUUAUAGGAAAAUAAUUCCCAUUUUUUUUCCUUUCAAAAAUGACUCCAAAGCUACAUAUGAACUGGAAUCUUUCUGUCCACUUAUGCUAUUAGCAAAUUCCUUAUAUUCUUCUCUUCCCUGGUCACUGAUGCUUUGAAGCAGUUUUGCACAUGAGUCCUGGAGUAUUACUCCGUAUUAGUUAAUGCCAAUAAAUUGGACUAAGCCAACUUGGUCACAUGCCAGUUUGAUCUGGAUUAGAGACAGAGGCCCAGAGAAUUCAAGUAGAGAAAGGCAGAGAGACAGAAAGGGACAGAGAGAGCCCAAAUGAAAAGCUAUUAGAUGUCUUAGAAUAUCAGUUAAAAUAGUUGUAAAAACAGGGAAAGACUAGAGGAUCUUCAAGGUCCUUCUCUGCUCUGAAAUGUUAUGAUUCUUUGCCUAGAGCUUCUGGGGAUAGAGGUCUUUGGAAGUUUUGGAGGUCUAUUUUUCUAUUUAUCUUUGUAUCCCAAGUGCCCAACAUACUGCCUUAAUAAAUGCUUGAGGAAAUGAAUUAAAUGUAUUCUAAGUUGGAGAUCAAAUUCAUAGCAAGCAAGUCAAUGCAAGCCUAGUAUUUUUAUAUGACAGAUUGAGAAUCAUGGGAACAUCGAAUCAUGGAGUUAGAGCUAGUAGUGGCCUUAGAGAUAAACUUGUAUUAUUUUUUCAUUUUACAGUUGAUGAACUGGAGAUAUCUAGAGAUAAAGUGAUUUGCCCCAAAACUCACAGAUCAUAAUUGACCAAGCCAGAAACUGAACUCGGGUCCUCUGACCCCACAACCAGCAUUCUUUCCAUGGCAAAGAUCAAUUCAGUUUUAAGCACAGUGCCCAAUGCCUAGUAGGCACGCAAUCAAUGUAGUCGAAUGAGAUUGGAUUGUCAUGCCUGGCAAUCUGUUAGGUUAGGAAAGUUGAAUCCUACUAGUAGAGGGCUAACUAGUCUCUAAGGAAUGAGCCAACAUUUGAAUUACUAACCAACCAAGGUUCUGUAAGCCUAAUGAUCAUAUCUGACAUAGGACAUAGAUAUCCUCUAGCACCAUCUAGCUAAUCCCCAAAGCAAGUGAAUUCCUAGCAUCUGACUCCCUGUCCCUAUGGAAAUUUAAACACAUGUGCAGGCACACACACACUCUCUUAGGUAAGACAAGGGUGGAUCUUAGGGAAAAGAGAAAAUUAAGAGUAACAAAGUUAAGUCUAAAGAAAUCCACAUAAAUGUCAAACCCAAAGGCCUCAAAUCAGAAAGAAAGAAAUGCCUCAGCAGAGAAAUAAAUUUGCUCCCAAA